GGGUCCGUGGGUUAGCUUGGCCUAUACUUGGCGCUUCGGGGGCGCUAGUCCCCAGUUCAAAUCUGGGCGGACCCACCA
rnacentral:tRNA from 4 species